rnacentral:rRNA from 1 species
CCCGCUUAUUUUAAGCCCAAUUAUACGCCCGUACCUGUCUGCUCGGUUUUAGGUUGGGGUGACCACGGAGUAUAAAGUAACCUCCAUGAAGAAAGGGGUAAGUACCCUUAUUAGAGAAAGACACUUCCAAAAACUAACAAAUUAAUUUUUAAUGAUCCGAUAUUCGAUCAACGAACCAAGUUACCCUGGGGAUAACAGCGCAAUCCACCUCGAGAGCUCCUAUCGACAGGUGGGUUUACGACCUCG